rnacentral:rRNA from 1 species
UACGAAGGGGGCUAGCGUUGCUCGGAAUCACUGGGCGUAAAGGGUGCGUAGGCGGGUCUUUAAGUCAGGGGUGAAAUCCUGGAGCUCAACUCCAGAACUGCCUUUGAUACUGAAGAUCUUGAGUUCGGGAGAGGUGAGUGGAACUGCGAGUGUAGAGGUGAAAUUCGUAGAUAUCGGUAAGAACACCAGUGGCGAAGGCGGCUCACUGGCCCGGUACUGACGCUGAGGUGCGAAAGCGUGGGGAGCAAACAGG